rnacentral:SRP_RNA from 1 species
GGGUAAGUCUUAUACGACCAGCUCCUGUUGAAUCCUCCAGGGUCGGAAGGCAGCAAAGGUAAAACGGUUGUAGCGGUGCGAUGUAAGUAGCUUACCCUUU